rnacentral:sRNA from 1 species
AUUCACGCCCCUCACCGUCCCGGGCCCUGGGGGCUGCGGGCUCGAGGCCGGCCCUCGCGGGGGCGUGGCCUUGCCUGUCACUUUUUCCAGGGGCGAGGGUCGCGGAGGGGACAGCGUCAGGGCCGCUGGGGUGGGGACGGCGGGCGAGGCGCAAACUUUACUAGGAGUUUUUGGCACUUGGAGGCAGAUCCUGUUGGGCGGCACAGCACGCCCGCUGGGAAACGCAGGGGAGCGGCCUGCUUCGCUGAAAACCCGACCAGGACCUAACGGGCCGCGGGACAGAAACCUCCGAGACCAUGGUACACAGCAACUACCACAACUCGCUCCUCAGCCCCUGACUCUUCGUCCCCGCCCCCACAGCGCAGUAUAAGUAGGGCCCGAAACAGAACUGGCAACGGCAGUAGCCAAUCUACUUGCCAACAUCACUUUGACAGCCCAAUCACGAUGAAGAGGAGGCGGGGAGACCGUAUAGCUGUGGACCAACUGUAUAUGAUCAUGCGCACCUUGGCCAUGCUUGCUCAUAUGUUAGAUUUGAUAUCAUUCGAAGGAUCCUAACCAAGGUUUUUGGAUG